GCCUGGGUGGCUCAGUCGGUUGAGCGUCCGACUUCAGCUCAGGUCAGGAUGUCGCAGUCUGUGUGUUCGAGCCCCACAUCGGGCU
rnacentral:tRNA from 1 species